rnacentral:tRNA from 1 species
GCCUGGGUGGCUCAGUCGGUUAAGCGUCUGACUUUGGCUCAGGUCAUGAUCUCAUGGUUCGUGGGUUUGAGUCCCACAUUGGGCU